CGUUGAACUCUUUUUAUCAAUUAGCUUGGAAACAAUUUUUUCAUAUUUUUUGGCCACACUAGCAGCUAUAUUAUCAUUCACCUCCACAUCUUUUUCUUGUUCGUCAAUACUUUUACCACAUUAAAGGGUAUGACAUCAUCUUCCACCACAAGUUUUCCUGUUAGUCUCUUUUCUCUACUGCCUGAUCUUGGUUCCCCCUUAGAGUAUGUUUCAAACUUAUUAUUGAGGCUACGAGUAAUAUGAGUCAUGCUAGGAAAUUUUUCUUAGGAACCAAAGCUUUGGAGAUAUCUUAUUCAUUCAAACACUCAGAGGGAGCAAGAGUUCGAAUCACUCAAAGUAGGAAGAAAACGAAGAGGUGGUACUACUCAAUCGAAAACAUCACGGUUGAAAGUCGAUGGUGCGUUGAGGGAGAUAUAGUGAAGAGGAGGUGGCUAGCUGAACUAAGGAAAUUAGGAAAGUGAAGAAUACAAUGUACUCUUUAUGUUUUAGUGGUAGAUAUUUAAUUAUUUUAUUAUUUAUUAGAUAGGAAAGUAGGAAACUUUUCGGUUUCCAUUUUCUUUGUUAAUGGAACCGGUCAAUGAUCAUCAUUGGACUUGAUUGUUUUUUAACUCUUUUAUUAGUUUUCAG